rnacentral:lncRNA from 1 species
CAGGCAAGCCCGCCGUCACCCGUCCCGGCCAGGGGGCUGACAGUCCGACAGACACAACACCACACGUGCUGCCUGCUCCACACCACAGCACCCACCAGGCUGUCACCCCGCUCGGCUCAGCCCCGCUCGGAUCUCCGCGCACUCGGCACAGCCCGGAGUGCGCGCCCGGCGCCGGGAGCGGCGGGCGGGCGGACGGCGGGCGCGCCCCGAGGAGAGCGGGCGAGCCCGCACAGCAGCCCCAGGCUCCGCGGCCUGGCGCUCGCCGCCCGUGAGCGCCGGCUCCCGGAGUGGCGCGCGGCGGAGCGGGCGAGCCGUAGGUGCGGACCGGGCGGGCGGACGGCGCGGGUUGGGCCGCGGAGUCGGACGCGAGGGGGGGCCGCGGCGCCCAGCCCGAGGCCUGGCGCAGAGCAGCGGGAGGCGGCGCAGGCCGCGACGGGGCCUGCAGCAGCCCGCCGACCCCGCGAGGCGCCGAAGGAGACUCCGGGGCGGCUUAGCCUCCGGCUCGGCAGCUGGGAGCGACCGGGGGAGGCCCCUCGGCUACUUACCUGGGGGGAAGACAGUCGGGAUCCCGGGGGCCCGGGCCGGACCGCGGAGAUGCCCCAAACUGACACGGCCGCCAUCUUGGAGACAACAACGCCUAGUACACCAGGCAAAACUGAAACCUGCAGGCUGUUCGGAGAGUUUUCAUUUCCCGGACUCCAACCGCUGGUCUCACAGCUGCCCAAGCAACCACUUCCUGAAAUGCAAACACACACGGGUGCGCUCGCGCACGCGCGCACGCACACUACCUCAUACCAUACAUCCUGAUGACUGACGACGUGAUUCUGAGUGGCUUUCCUGAGCCCGCUCUCCCAGUCCUUAGGAAGAAUCUGCGGAGUCGCUGACGGGAAGCAGGUGUCUGGCGCCAUCGGAGGGCAGGCCCGCGUGGGAGCCGCUCGUCCCGCAGCGCAUCCCAGGUGACUCCGGCCCGACCCGUCUUUCCUGGACCGAGGCGUUUAGAAGUACCUUAGAAACCGCACCACCCGUCAGCUGGCUUCAAAACAAAGAGUCCUUUCAGCCGCUUCAGAUGCUGGCUCGUCGCCAUGGCAACCGUCCUCCGCCUUUCUCCACCUCCUCCCCUCCGCCCGGCGCCCCGCAGCUGCGUGGGUGGAGGCGCCGCUUUGUCCCCGGAGGCCGGCUUUAUUUCCCGCCUUUGUGGUGGACUAGAGAGGAGUCACCCCCGGGAAUUCACUGUACAAAUCCCAAGUUUCUUUUCAACCAUCCUGGUUGGGUCCAGGAGAGUCUGUCCCCAUCAGGCCCAGCAGCGCCACCUUCCGUGGCGAAGAGCGCACUGCCCAGUCCGCCGCUGCGCAAAAGCCAUACGGGUCUGGCCAUUGUCACUAUUCUAGUGGCGCUCAACAUUUGAGCAGCUAGAGCUUUCUUGGCUGAAAAGACAGAAUGGUUAUGUAAACAACCAGGACGUGUUUCCUGAUUUUCCUUUUCCCUAGCUGCUUCCUAUUUUAAAUGAUUAUGUACUUUCAAAACUUCUGUAUUAACUUUGAUGAAUUCCUCAAUGUUUACUUUCUCUUUUCUAUGGAGAAACUUUUUUUUAACUUUUUAAUAAUUUAUUAAAAUAUUAGUUUGCUUCUUAUGUUCAGCAUAGAAAAAAGCAAAAUAAAUCUCUGUGCAAAUUUUCCGAGUCA